AGGAAGAGGAGGAGGAAGAGGAGGUGGAGGAGGAGUGGUGCUGAGGGACGGAGGGUCAGCAGGAGAAACAGGAGAACCGACAGUCGGACCGGCGCCUCGAUUUCAGGAGAAACGUUUAAAUCAACGACCAGAAACAAAAACACUUUACAAAAUCAGCAGAGCUCAGGAUAAAACGAGGAACCGGACCCAGAACAGGAACCGGACCCAGAACAGGAACCGGACCCAGAGCAGGAACCGGACCCAGAACAGGAACCGGACCCAGAACAGGAACCGGACCCGACUCCAUCAGGUUAAAGGUUCUGGUCCAGAUCCAGGUUCUGUCUCUGCGGCCUUCAGCUCAAGAUAUGAUCCAGGAUCAACACAGAGUGGAUCUGUGUUCUGAACAACCACUGGGUCGGUUCUGUGGCCUCAGUAGAACCAAACAGAACCAGAACCAGUUCAGACUGGGACCGGUUGGAUUCAUAAAUCAGUUUAAUUUAUUAAACAUGAAAACUGUUCAAAUGAAAUAAACGAUCAAUAAUCCAGAUGUUUUUCAGAAACAUGAUGAUCAAUGAAUGGAUCAAUAAUCUCAAUCUGAGGGAUUAAAUAUUUAAAGCUCCACAGGCAGAAAACUGAAAUCAGAAACUUUACAUUUAAAGGUCCAGAAACAACCGGGUCCAAAACCCAGAACUCCAGAACCAGAUCAGAACCAGCCUGAAGAAACUUUGAUUAAACAGCAGAGAUGAGCUGUGAUGUCAUGCUUAAUCUGUCCAAUCAGCAGUCAGAGUUCGUUAAGCUAAUGGGUUAGCCGUUA